rnacentral:rRNA from 1 species
UACGUAGGGUGCAAGCGUUGUCCGGAAUUAUUGGGCGUAAAGAGCUCGUAGGUGGCCUGUCGCGUCGGCUGUGAAAACGCGAGGCUCAACCUCGCGCCUGCAGUGGGUACGGGCAGACUAGAGUGCGGUAGGGGAGAUUGGAAUUCCUGGUGUAGCGGUGAAAUGCGCAGAUAUCAGGAAGAACACCCGUGGCUAAGGCGGCUCUCUAGUACGGUACUGACGCUGAGACGCGAAAGCGUGGGGAGCGAACAGG